CAAGGCCGCCACCCUCAAUUUGCAUUACCAUUUAUUACUUGAUUCAUCUCUAUAUAUAUAUUUCUCUCUUUCUCUCUCUCUAUGUGUAACACAUGUUUAAUUUGAAACUUAAGAGCCCAAAACUUACUGAUUGUGAGAUAAAACAAUGUACUAAUCCACGUGAAAAAGAAGGUGGAGAAAAUCGAAACUCAGUAUCCAACAUCAUCGAUCAAGUACGAG
rnacentral:lncRNA from 1 species